GACGAACGCUGGCGGCGUGCUUAACACAUGCAAGUCGAACGGAAAGGCCCUGCUUUUGUGGGGUGCUCGAGUGGCGAACGGGUGAGUAACACGUGAGUAACCUGCCCUUGACUUUGGGAUAACUUCAGGCAACUGGGGCUAAUACCGGAUAGGAGCUCCUGCUGCAUGGUGGGGGUUGGAAAGUUUCGGCGGUUGGGGAUGGACUCGCGGCUUAUCAGCUUGUUGGUGGGGUAGUGGCUUACCAAGGCUUUGACGGGUAGCCGGCCUGGGAGGGUGACCGGCCACAUUGGGACUGAGAUACGGCGCAGAGUCCUACGGGAGGCAGCAGUGGGGAAUAUGGCACAAUGGGCGGAAGCGUGAUGCAGAAACGCUGCGUGCGGGAUGACGGCUUUCGGGUUGGAAACCGCUUUCGCCUGUGACGAAGCGUGAGUGACGGUAAUGGGUAAAGAAGCACCGGCUAACUACGUG
rnacentral:rRNA from 1 species